GACGAACGCUGGCGGCGUGCUUAACACAUGCAAGUCGAACGGAAAGGCCCUGCUUUUGUGGGGUGCUCGAGUGGCGAACGGGUGAGUAACACGUGAGUAACCUGCCCUUGACUUUGGGAUAACUUCAGGAAACUGGGGCUAAUACCGGAUAGGAGCUCCUGCUGCAUGGUGGGGGUUGGAAAGUUUCGGCGGUUGGGGAUGGACUCGCGGCUUAUCAGCUUGUUGGUGGGGUAGUGGCGUACCAAGGCUUUGACGGGUAGCCGGCCUGAGGGGGUGACCGGCCACCUUGGGACUACGAUACGGACCAGACUCCUACGGGAGGCAGUAGUGGGGAACAUUGCACAAUGGGCGGAAGCCUGAUGCAGAAACGCCGCGUGCGUGAUGACGGCCUUCUGGUUGUAAACCGCUGUCGCCUGUGCCGAACCGAGAGUGACGGUAAUGGGUAAAGAAGCACCGGCUAACUACGUG
rnacentral:rRNA from 1 species